rnacentral:rRNA from 1 species
UACGAAGGGGGGCUAGCGUUGCUCGGAAUUACUGGGCGUAAAGCGCACGUAGGCGGAUUGUUAAGUCGGGGGUGAAAUCCUGGAGCUCAACUCCAGAACUGCCUUCGAUACUGGCGAUCUCGAGUUCGGGAGAGGUGAGUGGAACUGCGAGUGUAGAGGUGGAAUUCGUAGAUAUUAGGAAGAACACCAGUGGCGAAGGCGGCUUACUGGUCCGGUACUGACGCUGAGGUGCGAAAGCGUGGGGAGCAAACAGG